rnacentral:rRNA from 1 species
AGCGAACGCUGGCGGCAGGCUUAACACAUGCAAGUCGAGCGGGCAUCCUUGUGGUGUCCGCGGCAGACGGGUGAGUAACGCGUGGGAACGUGCCCUUGGUUCCGAAUUAAUCAGGGAAAACUUAGCUAAUUACCGGUAAGCUCCUGGGGAGAAAGGUUUUGCUGCCGAAGGAUCGGCCCGGCUUCGGUUUGUUUGUUGGUGUGGUUAUGGCUCACCAAGGGGACGAUCAGUAGCUGGUCUGAGAGGGUUAUCAGCCACACUGGGACUGAGACACGGCCCAGACUCCUACGGGAGGCAGCAGUGGGGAAUAUUGGACAAUGGGGGCAACCCUGAUCCAGCCAUGCCGCGUGAGUGAUGACGGCCUUAGGGUUGUAAAGCUCUUUUCUCCGGGACGAUAAUGACGGUACCGGAGGAAUAAGCCCCGGCUAACUUCGUG